GCUUCGAUAGCUCAUCAGGUUAGAGUACAGAACUGAAGUUUCUGGGGGAUUGGUUCGAGUCCAGUUCGAGGCA
rnacentral:tRNA from 1 species